UACAGAGGGUGCAAGCGUUAAUCGGAAUUACUGGGCGUAAAGCGUGCGUAGGUGGUUUUUUAAAUCAGGUGUGAAAUCCCUGGGCUCAACCUGGGAACUGCAUUUGAUACUGGAAAGCUAGAGUGUGGUAGAGGAUGGUGGAAUUCCCGGUGUAGCGGUGAAAUGCGUAGAUAUCGGGAGGAACAUCAGUGGCGAAGGCGGCCAUCUGGACCAACACUGACACUGAGGCACAAAAGCGUGGGGAGCAAACAGG
rnacentral:rRNA from 1 species